CCCAAACCAAUUGAAUUUCUGCCUUCAAAGCUUGAUUUUCCUCCUAGAAAUACUCCCCAAUUGAUACUAAACCAGUUUUCAUAAUUAUAAGGGUAAAUUACACCAAUAGUCACUCAAGUUUAAGGUAGCUAACAAAAUAGUCACCUAGGUUUCAUUUCAGUCACCUAACUUUUGAAAAAUAACAAAAUAGUCACUAACGUUAUAAAAAAGUGACAAAACAGUCACUGACUAACAGUUUCCGUUACUGUCUUAACA
rnacentral:lncRNA from 1 species